AGUGAACGCUGGCGGUAGGCCUAACACAUGCAAGUCGAACGGCAGCACAGUAAGAGCCUGCUCUUACGGGUGGCGAGUGGCGGACGGGUGAGGAAUACAUCGGAAUCUACUUUUUCGUGGGGGAUAACGUAGGGAAACUUACGCUAAUACCGCAUACGACCUACGGGUGAAAGCAGGGGAUCUUCGGACCUUGCGCGAUUGAAUGAGCCGAUGUCGGAUUAGCUAGUUGGCGGGGUAAAGGCCCACCAAGGCGACGAUCCGUAGCUGGCCUGAGAGGAUGAUCAGCCACACUGGAACUGAGACACGGUCCAGACUCCUACGGGAGGCAGCAGUGGGGAAUAUUGGACAAUGGGCGCAAGCCUGAUCCAGCCAUACCGCGUGUGUGAAGAAGGCCUUCGGGUUGUAAAGCCCUUUUGUUGGGAAAGAAAAGCAGCAGGUUAAUACCCCGCUGUUCUGACGGUACCCAAAGAAUAAGCACCGGCUAACUUCGUG
rnacentral:rRNA from 1 species